UGCGCAGGCGGAGCGAUAAGUCAGUGGUGAAAUCCUGCAGCUUAACUGCAGAACUGCCAUUGAUACUGUCGUUCUUGAGUAUAGUUGAAGUGGGCGGAAUGUGUCAUGUAGCGGUGAAAUGCUUAGAUAUGACACAGAACACCGAUCGCGAAGGCAGCUCGCUAAACUAUAACUGACGCUCAUGCACGAAAGCGUGGGGAUCAAACAGGAUUAGAUACCCUGGUAGUCCACGCCGUAAACGAUGAUUACUCGAUGUUGGCGAUAUACAGUCAGCGUCUAAGCGAAAGCAUUAAGUAAUCCACCUGGGGAGUACGUUCGCAAGGAUGAA
rnacentral:rRNA from 1 species